CCUACGGGAGGCAGCAGUGAGGAAUAUUGGUCAAUGGGCGGAAGCCUGAACCAGCCAAGUAGCGUGCAGGAUGACGGCCCUACGGGUUGUAAACUGCUUUUAUAUGGGAAUAAAGUGCAGUAUGUAUACUGCUUUGCAUGUACCUUAUGAAUAAGCAUCGGCUAACUCCGUGCCAGCAGCCGCGGUAAUACGGAGGAUCCGAGCGUUAUCCGGAUUUAUUGGGUUUAAAGGGAUCGUAGGCGGGUUGUUAAGUCAGUUGUGAAAGUUUGCGGCUCAACCGUAAAAUUGCAGUUGAUACUGGCAUCCUUGAGUACAGUAGAGGUAGGCGGAAUUCGUGGUGUAGCGGUGAAAUGCUUAGAUAUCACGAAGAACUCCGAUUGCGAAGGCAGCCUGCUGGACUGUAACUGACGCUGAUGCUCGAAAGUGUGGGUAGCAAACAGGAUUAGAUACCCGAGUAGUC
rnacentral:rRNA from 1 species